rnacentral:rRNA from 1 species
AUUGAACGCUGGCGGCAGGCCUAACACAUGCAAGUCGAGCGGAUGACGGGAGCUUGCUCCUUGAUUCAGCGGCGGACGGGUGAGUAAUGCCUAGGAAUCUGCCUGGUAGUGGGGGACAACGUUUCGAAAGGAACGCUAAUACCGCAUACGUCCUACGGGAGAAAGCAGGGGACCUUCGGGCCUUGCGCUAUCAGAUGAGCCUAGGUCGGAUUAGCUAGUAGGUGAGGUAAUGGCUCACCUAGGCGACGAUCCGUAACUGGUCUGAGAGGAUGAUCAGGCACACUGGAACUGGGACACGGUCCAGACUUCUACGGGGGGCAGCAGUGGGGAAUAUUGGACAAUGGGCGAAAGCCUGAUCCAGCCAUGCCGCGUGUGUGAAGAAGGUCUUCGGAUUGUAAAGCACUUUAAGUUGGGAGGAAGGGCAGUAAGCUAAUACCUUGCUGUUUUGACGUUACCGACAGAAUAAGCACCGGCUAACUCUGUGCCAGCCGCCGCGGUAAUAC